rnacentral:rRNA from 1 species
UACGUAGGGGGCUAGCGUUGUCCGGAAUCAUUGGGCGUAAAGCGCGUGUAGGCGGCCCGGCAAGUCCGCUGUGAAAGUCCAGGGCUCAACCCUGGGAUGCCGGUGGAUACUGUCGGGCUCGAGUCCGGAAGAGGCGAGUGGAAUUCCUGGUGUAGCGGUGAAAUGCGCAGAUAUCAGGAGGAACACCAAUGGCGAAGGCAGCUCGCUGGGACGCGACUGACGCUGAGACGCGAAAGCGUGGGGAGCAAACAGG